GUGCUCACUUUGACAGCACAUAUACUAAAAUUGGAAUGACACAGAGAAGAUUACCAUGGGUCCUGUCCAAGGAUGACAUUCAAAAUCGUCAAGUCUUCCAUAUUUUU